rnacentral:pre_miRNA from 1 species
GUGUGUGUGUGUGUGUAUGAUGUUCAGCACCACGGACAGGUGUGUCUGUUUGUGUUGUGUGUGAUUUUCAGCACCACGGACAGGUGUGUGUGUGU